GCAAAGAUGUACCAACUAAGGACCAGCAAGACCAGAAUAGGCACGCUUGGCUGCCCGACCUCCACUUCACCUGCUGCCAGAUGUGCAAAGUAAGGAGCAAAAGGGGAAAAGACUUGGUUGUGGUGUGUGGCUGCCGGGAGCUUCCUCAUCCUUUAUGAGCUGGAUCUGUAAAGGAGACUGUCAGGCAGAUGGCUCCCCCAGCUAGUCAUCCCAGUACUAUUUCUGGAACGAGCCACCUUUCCCCACUGAUCAGAAGUGCCUCCUUUCUCGUCUCACAGAGGCCUUGUUGCACUUGCCUCUCCUCUGGGCUUUCCACUCUGAGGAAGAGAGAUGCUUUUAAUGCAAGAUGCAGCUGUUACCCUGCUGAACUUGCCACCCUGGUCAAGUGACUUCACUUAUCCAAGCCUCAGAUGAGGAUGAUGAGAGAAUUAACCAAAAUAACAGACCUCAAGUAUCUGGCACCUGGAGCCCAGCAACUCUCUGCUCAUUGGCUCAACUGCAUUAAAAGGUUUGGAUCCCAGUGCCCCAGGACAGAAACAGUCCUCCCUCUGCAGCUCUAGGUGUGACUUAGCAGCAGUAAGGGGAGAAAAAGAGGAGGAGGAAGAGGAGAGACGGAGGGGGAAGAAGAAGGAGAAGAAAACGGGCAGCAGGUGAAAGGCCGACAGGAAGAGCAAAUAAGAGGCCAAAUUAGAUCUUCAUAAGACACCUUGAUGCCCCAAGGACAGCCUACUAUUAUAGGCUGCAGCCUCUCUGGGAAAAGAAACUGAGGCCUCUGCCACCCUAGCUGGAGGAGCUGCAAACGGAGACCAGACCCUUUAAACAUUAAAUCCUCUUACCUUGGGGCACCUCGGUGGCUCAGCGGUUGAGUGUCUGCCUUCGGCCCAGGGCGUGAUCCCGGGGUCCUGGGAUCGAGUCCCACAUUGGGCUCCCUUCGACAAGCCUGCUUCUCCCUCUGCCUGUGUCUCUGCCUCUCUCUCUCUCUGUGUCU